AUGAGAGUUAGGCUCAUCUCUGCUGUGGUGCUGUGUUUCCUAGGAACAGGCCUUGUGGACAUGAAAGUAACCCAGAUGCCAAGAUACCUGAUCAAAAGAAUGGGAGAGAAUGUUUUGCUGGAAUGUGGACAGGACAUGAGCCAUGAAACAAUGUACUGGUAUCGACAAGACCCUGGUCUGGGGCUACAGCUGAUUUAUAUCUCAUACGAUGUUGAUAGUAACAGCGAAGGAGACAUCCCUAAAGGAUACAGGGUCUCACGGAAGAAGCGGGAGCAUUUCUCCCUGAUUCUGGAUUCUGCUAAAACAAACCAGACAUCUGUGUACUUCUGUGCUAGCAGUUUAUC